UGGUUUUAAGUGGAGUUGCGUACUCUUCCUAAUGAACUCUUGGUGUUACAUAUCCUAUGUGAUUAGUAAUAUGCUACUCCCCUACCAUGUUAGGUUUAUUAAUGCUGAGUCAGCUAAACAUGUUUUAAUCCUCACCCAGAGGACGCAGGAGCAAUAGUCUAAUAAUUACGGUCUUAAUGACGAAUGUUAUUCAUUGCCUUUCCUACAGCAGUUGAGAUUUUUAUCAGCCUCAAGUGAUUCUGACCUUUUUUCAGUGUACGGCCUAUAGUCAGUCAUUGGAGUUGGUUUUUAUGUACUGACUGUCAGACAAUUGUCUCAUUCCUCCUCCAGUGACCUCUGACCCUCUGUCUGGUCAACAGACACCCAGUGCUGGCGAUGAACAACCAGAAACAACUGAUACUCAAAAUGAUUCCACACAACUUUCAACGGAUGACCAAACCUUGUCAAGCACUCCAUUGACUGAGGAAGACUCUGAUGCUCUAGAAAAGCUGCUCCUAGACAACAAAAUCUCUUUGACUGGUGAAAGGACAUAUGAGACAGUAGUUCACCACCUUCGUGAGCUCGGACAUAUGGAACUUGCAGCCAACCUGAGGGAAAACCUCGACAAAGUUAUCAAAUGGCAGCGUCGAUACCUCGAUAGACUCAUGACUCUAAUGGUUGAUAAAGAAACAAUCGAUAUGUGCACUCUGAAACUGUGUCUCGUUGGUCCCCCUCACGUUGGGAAGACAACCACACUCAAUCGUCUACUGCAAGUGUAUGAAAACAUUCAAUCAGCUGGAGACAAAGCGAAACAUCCAAGCACUCUACUAGCUAACUGUAUCCAAGUUAUGGCGUUGAUUAAUAAAGAUGAGUGGAUAUCUUCCAAGGAUGUCGAUGAAGAAGCCAAGAUGAUAUUUGGUUAUCUAUGUGGCAAUUUAACUCUCGAUGAAAUAGAUAUACCCAAUGAAGAAUCGACAAAGGCCACCCGAUCUGAAGAAACAGUACCUUACAAAGUCCACACACAAACUGUACAACAAGCCACACUUACCGACUCUGAGGAUAAAGCCGCUGUAACCCACAGCAACAAACUAGCACAGGUCAUUCUUCGACUGCAAAAGCUGAUAAAGAGCGGAAACUACUCCCAAAUGGCCAAAUGUCUUGGCAACACCUUGCUGAACAUAAACGAUGUCGGAGGCCAACCAGAAUUCCUAGAAAUGCUACCAGCCCUGAGCAAUGGUCCUGCCAUGUAUCUAGUGUUCUUGGAUCUGAGCAAGGAACUUGACAAGCCCUACAAGAUUCCCUUCUGUCGUGAUGGCAAAGUCAUCACUCCUUAUAAAUCAAUGCACACAGUGAAAACCGCAGUCUCUCAAAUCCUCUCAUCCAUUGCUAGUGUGCGUCACAUGUCGGAAAUUUCGAAGCCUCUCUUAAAAACUCCUCAGUUGAAGGAAAAAUUUGAAGCUUUUCUCGCUGUCCCUCCAGUGGCAGCCCUAAUAGGUACCCACAAAGAUAAGCUUGGUGGAGACUCAACAGAUGGUCCAGAAAAAGAACGAUUGACCAGAGACAAAAUGGUGGAGAUAAACACAGCAUUGAAGCCCAUCACCAAAACUUUCGAGAACAUUUUAGUUUUUCCUAAGCAAGAAAAUGAGGCUUCUGAUGACACAUCUAAUAAAGAAGCUAAUUGCUCUUCUGACAGGAUGUCCUUUUUUGCCCUCGAUAACGAUAAAGGCACGGAGAAUGCUGAAAUUUCUCCAUUACGUGGCUUAUUGAAUAAACUAUUUUACUCUCGCUUCGGCAAAACCUCUCUUCCAAUACCCAAAAAUUGGCUUGUACUAGGAAUUAUUCUCCGAAAGGAAUAUCAAAUUGCCACAGUAGCAGACUGUAUCGAAAUAGGCAAAAGGUUGGAGAUGGAUGAAGAAGAAACCACAAUCUGCCUCCUCUACCUUCAUAGUAUAGGAUCGAUCCUGUACUAUACGGAUGUUCCCAAUGAUGAUGAUCCACGCUGGCUCCUCAAAGGUCACGUCAUCUGCUUACCUCAAGUGAUCUUCGAUAGCAUAAGCCAACUGAUAAUCGUUUCGAUGCAGAAUGUUCAUGAUGGAGGCCUCAACACCGAGUUUGAGAUAGCAGAAUUGAUCAGGAAAGGUCAGUUUACACUAGAGGCCAUCGAGAGACAUUGCAAAGUAGAUGUUCAAGUUUCCAAAAAUCUGAAAAACAAUUUACUAAUACCAUCCGGACCGCUUGUGAAACUUCUCAAGUACCUCAACCUUCUCUCUGAUAUCACACACAAAGAUGAAGAUGGUGAACGAAUCACGUACCUCAUGCCGGCUAUAUUGGAGUGUGCUUCACCAGAGGAGCUGACCAACCCAUCUCAACCAGACAUCAACAACCCAGAACCACUCCACAUCACAUUUAGUUUUGGUUACGUACCAACAGGAGUCUUCUGUGGGCUCAUCACUCGACUAGUUUCCCAAGGCCCUCAUAAAAUUCUCGGAUUGACGUGGGAAUUGGUGGAAGAUGGCAUCAAACGAAACUGCGUCUCCUUUUAUGUUGACUACGUACACAAAGUGACACUGCUCUCUCACGACAGAAGCUACGAGAUACGAGUUGAACGCAAUGCAAAACAGAUGGAUUUAUCUCUUCACGAUCUUUGCUCCCACACUUUGUCAGCAAUCCUGUAUAUGCUCAAGAACCUGUUCCCAAAGUUGAUCCUCAGUGUUGCAUUUCAAUGCUCCUGUCCCAAACACGCAGCAAGCAAGAGUCUCAACAACCUUUGCACCCUUGUUCAAGGCCGAAAGAUCUACUUCCUGUGUGGUAGAAGUCCCGUCACCCUCAGUGAAGCACAACAAGUGUGGUUGGGGAAGCACGUGUGUCUAGGAAACAGGACGGAACUAAAGGUGCUAAAGUUUGCUGAAGAUGGUUUCUCCUUCCACUGGAGCAAAGAGGGCUCCAGACGUCAGAUUAAGACAACUGAUGAUCGGCCCAACACUGUCAGCUUCGCGAGUGUGAGAGAGGAGGACUUUGGUCACUACCAGUGUGAAGUGAAGGAUGCAGCUGCUGGGAAAGUGCUCCUCACUCUCUACACAGCUCUCUACAAAGAGGACACAAAUCCUCUAGCCUCAGGACAGCGCAAAAUGUCAUUGCCAUCAGACGAAAAAGUUGAAACUCUGCCAAAGCGUCCAAAGAAUGAUGUCACUGUACAAGGUAAUGCAGUGACUCCACUAGCCACUCCACACACAACCACUCAGUCAGUUCAUGAGACGACAGCGACUGCAGCUCAGUUGAGUCGUGAGUGCUCUGAUGAAGCUCUUCUCCAGUUGUCUACUGAGAUUGCUGGCUAUGACAGAUACAAGUACAGGCUGGGCCUCAGUGAUGCUGAGAUUGGUGCUAUCGAUCGGAGUACUUCCAUCGUUGAUAACAUCCCAGGGAGGUUUCACGCUGCUCUAAAGAAGUGGAAGAGUAAAAGCAUCAUUCUCGACAAUCCAUCCAAUUCAACAGCUACUUACGGUCGAUUAGUGGAAAUUGCCUCAGAGAUUGAGGACGGAGAGGCAGUUCGCAGCAUUCACAAGACCUGUGUCAAGGAUACACCUAAACCACAUCAGACGAUAGUGACAGCGACUGCCGCUCAGUUGAGUCAAGAGUGCUCGGAUGAAGCUCUUCUUCAGUUGUCUACCGAGAUUGCUGGCUAUGACAGAUACAAACUCAGGCUGGGCCUCAGUGAUGCUAAGAUUGACGCUAUCGAUAAGUGUCCUUCCAUGGUUGAUAAUAUCCCAGGAAGAUUUCUCGCUGCUCUGAAGAUGUGGAAGAGUAAAAGUAUUCUCGAAAUGUAUCCAUUGAAUUCAACAGCUACUUACGGUCGAUUAGUGGAGAUUGCUGCAAAGAUUGAGGACGGAGAAGCAGUUCGCAGCAUUCACAAGGCCUGUGUGGAGCAUACAUGACUGGAGGUCAUGGAUCAGUCAACACCAUCAGACACUACCAACACUAUAGAACCAUAAGCACAUUUGCACAUUAUUUUGUUUUGUUUGACGCUUAUUGUGGUAAUGAAUGAAGUGGCAUGAGUUUUUUUUUUACUGACAAUGUUCUUGGUAUGGAUCAUUCAACUUGGGAACAAAUAUUAGCCAGUAAUCUGGUAAAGUAUCACUGCAGUAAUGAAUUUAUAAAUUUGCACAUGGCCUACUGAGCUAGCUAUCGUAGACUCGACUCUGCAUGCUAUAGACUAGACUAAGAGCUUCACAGCUAGGCAGCAUUGAAAUAGUAUAAAUGUUAUAGCUCCAGUUGCUAACAGAGAUGGCUCCAUGCACACGAGGAGCAGUGUAGAGAGAGAGAGCUAGCCAGAGAGUGACUGUCUCGAGGCAUCCUGACUGAGUGCUGCUGCUGGUGGAUAUGGUGGCUAGUCUGCAGAGGGAGCUGGACAAUGCUAGGGAGGAUUGUCAGCAGAGGAGCAUCCUAGCAAAACUGACCAAACAGUAGAAAUUCCAAAACUGUUUCUGACUGGAGCUGAUCCAAAUAAUUCGCGAUAGUCUCAAAAAUGCAAGCAAAGAUUGGUUUGAUUUAGGAUUGGCUCUCGGAGUGAAUAUUACUGACUUGAAAGACAUUGAAGACCAACACGCUAGUAACAAACGACGCCUAACAGAGAUGGUGGGCAAGCGUCUUGAAGUCACUCAUCCACCCAUGACAUGGCCUUACAUAUGUGAAUGUCUAAGGAGUCCUACUGUUGAGCGUAACGAUGUAGCCGAGGAAAUUGAAGGCAAGUAUGUGAGGACAGCAACUGCAGUUGCUCAUAGUGCCACCAAUUGAUCAUGAGAACCUGACAAGCUUGAAGGGGACGAAUAAAGUAAAGAAGCAUAAAGAAGCAUACAUGCAAGAAUUAAGUAAAGAAUUGACUGACUCUGUGCUAACAAUGUCGUCUAUAUAGCCAUUAUUAUAAAGUAUGAGUACUGUGACAUGUUCAAGCAUUGUUCAUUUGUUCCUUGUAAGGGAUCAGCAUCUUAUUCUUAUAGAAUAAUUAUUUAUAAUUGA